rnacentral:tRNA from 1 species
AAGAUAUUAGAAAAGUCAUUUCAUAGCCUUGUCAAAGCUAAAUCAUAGGCUAAACCCCUAUAUAUCUUA